rnacentral:misc_RNA from 1 species
AACGAAGAGGAGGGGUUUUGUUUGGUUCUAAUCAGUCAAUAGAAACUCCACAUCAAUCAAUUCAUAGAAAUAAAUCACAAAACAACUAUUCAAAAAAGAAUAAUAAGAAACCAUGUAGAGAGCAAACAGAAUGUUAUACUAUGUUCAUGGAAUCAUAAUUCUCUUGUCAAAUCCCAAAUUAGGUGUCCUCAACUCUUGAAUGAAAGACAAAGCUCGGAAACGUUGUAGUAAUGUCCUUGAGAUAUUGGAGGGUCAUGUUCUUCAAAAGUGAA